UACGUAGGGUGCAAGCGUUGUCCGAAAUCAUUGGGCGUAAAGCGCGUGUAGGCGGCUUGUUAAGUCCGCUCUGAAAGCCCGGGGCUCAACCCCGGGAGGCGGGUGGAUACUGGCAAGCUCGAGUCCGGAAGAGGCGAGUGGAAUUCCUGGUGUAGCGGUGAAAUGCGUAGAUAUGCGGAGGAACACCGAUGGCGAAGGCAAUCCCCUGGGCCUGCACUGACGCUCAUGCACGAAAGCGUGGGGAGCAAACAGG
rnacentral:rRNA from 1 species